UACGGAGGGUGCGAGCGUUGUCCGGAAUCACUGGGCGUAAAGGGCGCGUAGGCGGCUCGGGAAGCGUGGGGUGAAAGGCCGGGGCUCAACCCCGGCUCGGCCUCGCGGACUCCCGGGCUUGAGCGCAGUAGAGGCGGGUGGAAUUCCGGGUGUAGCGGUGGAAUGCGUAGAGAUCCGGAAGAACACCGGUGGCGAAGGCGGCCCGCUGGGCUGUGGCUGACGCUGAGGCGCGACAGCGUGGGGAGCAAACAGG
rnacentral:rRNA from 1 species